rnacentral:lncRNA from 1 species
UGAUUUUGAGGGUUAAACUCUUUAAAGUAGAAAGCAUCUUAUGUUUAAAUAAUAUCUUGGAUAUGCUCUAAGGGCUCUUAGAUAUAUCUCGAUUGAGAUUGCAAUGGUCAAUUUUUUGUUUUUAAUAAUUCGGCCAUCGUUAUCAUUCUCCAAGACCAUUUGUCAUGUAUAGCAACUUGAGACAGUUACUGGGUCCAAUUAUACUGCUGGGGUAGCUUUCAACCAAAUUGAUAUUUGUCUACUUGGAGUUUGGUAUUAUCGCCAUACUACCACCCUCCUUGUAAUUAUCUAAUUGUUUAAUGUGGAAAUCACUUUACCAAACUUCCAUUACAUGAAAAAUCAGAAGUUUCAGGCUUUCAGCACGGUGGGUGUCUUUGACACUAAACUUCUAAUCCAUCAGUGCUCUAACUCUCCUUAAUCUAAAUAAUUAUCAAAAAAAUAAAAACUACAUAUAGAAAGCAAUGCAUACAGAAUUAAUCGACAUCUAUUCAUUUAAAGAAUAAUUAUCUAUUAAAUUAGGAAAAAUCUCCAUAAAUCAAUACGAUUACCUACAUUUUUCACUACCUUGCUGUCUUCUCCAAAAAAAAAAAAAAAGAAUUUUGAAAACAUCUAUUGAAUUAGGAAAAAUCUCCACAACUUGGAUUCAGUGACUUCAACACGGUUAUAUACAUAGUUCACUAUCUUACUUUCUUCUCCACUGAAUUGAACUUCAGUUUUUAAAAUCGAAACCAAAAAAAAAAAAAAAAAAAAAAAAAAAAAAAAAAN